CCUACGGGAGGCUGCAGUGAGGAAUAUUGGUCAAUGGGCGCGAGCCUGAACCAGCCAAGUAGCGUGAAGGAUGACGGCCCUACGGGUUGUAAACUUCUUUUAUAAAGGAAUAAAGUGAGGCACGUGUGCCGUUUUGUAUGGACUUUAUGAAUAAGGAUCGGCUAACUCCGUGCCAGCAGCCGCGGUAAUACGGAGGAUCCGAGCGUUAUCCGGAUUUAUUGGGUUUAAAGGGAGCGUAGAUGUGUUGUUAAGUCAGUUGUGAAAGUUUGCGGCUCAACCGUAAAAUUGCAAUUGAUACUGGCAGUCUUGCGUACAGUUGAGGUAGUCGGCAUUCGUGGUGUCGCGG
rnacentral:rRNA from 1 species